CGUGUCAACCUCCGUCUGAAGGUAAUGAAGCAGUUUUGAAUGUUUUCUUGGUGAACAUCAGCUGUCAGCAGCUCAGCUCCAACAGAAGCAGCAGAAAUCUGCUGAACUUGACGUUAAACUGAGUCAGAGCUGAAAGGUUAGAGUCUGGAUGAGGCCUAGUGUGAAACUGAUCCGCCAUUUUCUAGAGAUCACCUGUGAUCACCUGUCUGUUUGAGUCCUUGGUUUAUAGAAAUGAUUUCAGCUGAUUGUCUUUUCUUCUAAACUUAUUAUUAUUAUUAUUAUUAUUAUUAUUAUUAUUAUUAUUAUAUUCAGAAUCUCUGACUUUACUGACUCUGUAUUUCCUGAGUAAAUCCAAGCAGCAGUGAGCUGAGCUUCACCUGGAACUGAGCCAAUGUCUCUCUAAGUCACCUGUACGGCCUCGGUCCGUUUAUUGGGAUCUUUUCUCUGCAUGAAAGAUAAAAACAGAAGAUUGUAAUAAAUCUCAGCUUAAACCAUUCUAACAGUUAAACCUUCAGUCUAAACAUGAAGUGGUGAAUGAUGGAAGAUAUUUAGUUUAGUCUGAAUUAAAAUGGAUCAAAUCAUCAGAAUAUUACUGGAAAUAAUAUAGAUUUGAUUCCAUUUGAGUUGUUGGUUUUUCUCUCUGGGUUCUUUCAUGUUGAAUGAGUAUGAAUGAACUCUCUCUGUCUCUUAUUCUGUCUCUUAAGCGCUAUAGAUGUGACAUUGUUCCUUUGGCCAGAUAUGAACCUUAGACCUAUAUGUGUGGAAAGAAGCUCAUUAGAGAUGUGAAACGUAACCAGUUAGUGUGGAAGCAGCCAGUUGAAUGAAUGAAUGAAGCUGUUCCACUGGGUUAAUAAUUGUAAAUCUGAGUCUCACCACACGUCACUGAUCCAGUUUCAACAUCUCCAGGAUCUGAAGACUGCUCCACAUUUCACAUUUGACUCUAGAACAUUGUGCAGUCACUUUAAUCCCCUCAUUACAUGACGACAUUAAGGUUCAUUAAAGAAGAGAAAGUAGAAACUUUAACCCUUCUCAGCUCAGUGAUCAGAUUAGAAACGUUUCCAGUUAGAAAUGACUAAUAAAUGAACGUUUCUGCUCUUUAAAUGACAUUUUUAAGGAAAUUCUUCUGGAAACAAAACAACAUUUUUCAGUUUCCUCUUUAAUUAGUUCCUGUUGUUUUAAAAGAGAGAAGUCAUGAUUAGUGACAUCUGUUAAAUGUUAGUUUAAACUGAAUCAAAGGUCAUUCUUCUUAUUUUAUUCCAACUGAAUCAGAGCAGAAUAAUUGAGCAGCAGAUGUUCAGAUCAGAGUCCAGGUUCACUCUGAUAUUUAACCAGCAACAACUUCAUGAUAAUGAUAUAUUAAUAAUGAUACAAGCUCAAAUCUACUGGAUCCUGUAAAAUGUGCUCUUAUUGUGAAAAUCUGCCUCCUCCCUCCUUCCUGUCCUCCUCCAUCACAGGUGCAGCCCUGACUGGUUCCAGGAAGUAUCUCACCUGAGUCUCUAGUGUCCAGGUAGAAAGUUGAUGUGGAUUCAGCAGCAUGGACCAGAGGGAGGACAAAGAGGAGGGAGUCAGACAUCUGCAGGACGGGUUGACUGGUUUCAGUCAUUCAUCUGAUCCCAGCUGUGUUUCCCUCAAGAGUGAUCAGUCAAAUGAACGUGACAUUGAUUUUAAAGGACAUCAACCCUCUGCUCCUGAGAGGAUCAGUCCAGACCCCAGCUGUGUGUCCCUCAACAGUGAUUGGUCCAAUGAUCGUGACAUUUAUUUUAAAGGACAUCAACCCUCUGCUCCUGAGAGAGUCCACCAGCAGAGCUCAGAGGUUCUCAGUGGUCAGUCUACCCAGCAGCAUCAGACACAGCUGGAC